AUUCUAAUAAGAGGUACAGCCUGCCCAGUGACUCUGUUCAACGGCCGCGGUAUCCUAACCGUGCGAAGGUAGCGUAAUCACUUGUUCUUUAAAUGAGGACUAGUAUGAAUGGCAUCACGAGGGUUAUACUGUCUCCUUUCCCUAAUCAGUGAAACUAAUCUCCCCGUGAAGAAGCGGGGAUCAACCUAUAAGACGAGAAGACCCUAUGGAGCUUUAAACUAAAUUGCACUUGCCUUUUUACACAAAUUUUUCAGAAAAAUAAAUUUAAACUUAGCAUCAUGACAAUAAGUUUUAGGUUGGGGUGACCGCGGAACAAAAUACAACCUCCGCACUGAACAGAUUGUUUCUUUAGCUUAAAACUACAAUUUAAAGCAUCAACAAAUUGACAUCAUUGACCCAAUAUUUUGAUCAACGAACCAAGUUACCCUAGGGAUAACAGCGCAAUCCACUUCAAGAGCUCAUAUCGACAAGUGGGUUUACGACCUCGAUGUUGGAUCAGGGUAUCCCAGUGGUGCAGCCGCU
rnacentral:rRNA from 1 species